GGUGUAGAGUACAUGGGCAUGUGUUCAUAUCCAUAUGCAGUGCAGAAUGUAGGAUGGGGUCUCCAUCUUUAAAGAAAUAUUUGGUAAAUGAAUGGAGUUUGCCAGGCUUACACUAUUGACUCACUGAACUUUCCGCACCUAUUGUUACAAUAUAUGAUAUCGGAAAGGCGUCAAGUCGUGAUAGCGUGUGUUCAGGUUAUGGGACUUCAGGAGACCAGAUGAUGGUGUGAAGAUCAAAUUACAUGCUAUACAAAGAGUUUUAUAAAGAUAACUAUAAAGUCAAGUUUAAUUAGAAAAAUAUACAUUUGUAAACUUAUAGUGUAUAAACCGAUAUAAUACUUACUAUAGGGAGAGCGUAAUAUAAACCGAUAAAAUACUAACUAUAGGGAGAGUGUAAUAUAAACCGAUAUAACACUAAUUAUAGGGAGAGCGGGAUAUAAACCGAUAGAAUAGUAACUAUAGGGAGAGCAGGAUAUAAACCGAUAUAACACUAACUAUAUGGAGAACGGGAUAUAAACCGAUUAGGCAUGUGCAUGGGGAAAAUUUUCGGUUCGGCAUUCCGAAAUUCGGGACUUUCGCAAUUCAGGAAUUUGGCACUUCAACACUUAAGAAUUUCUCUUGCAGCCGCUAAGUAGAUAACUCCCUAAUUCCCACGGUAUUAGAGAGUUAUCUACCAAAAGGCUGAAGACCUAAAUUGGUCUUUCAGCCAAAUUUACUAAUGCUAAGUAAAAAUUACUUAGUAUUAGUAAAUUUUGCCCCUACUCGCUAUACCGCGAGUAGGGC